AACGAACGCUGGCGGCAUGCCUAACACAUGCAAGUCGAACGAGACCUUCGGGUCUAGUGGCGCACGGGUGCGUAACGCGUGGGAACCUGCCCUUAGGUUCGGUAUAACUCCCCGAAAGGGGUGCUAAUACCGGAUAAUGUCUUCGGACCAAAGAUUUAUCGCCUUUGGAUGGGGCCGCGUUGGAUUAGCUAGUUGGUAGGGUAAAAGCCUACCAAGGCGACGAUCCAUAGCUGGUCUGAGAGGAUGAUCAGCCACACUGGGACUGAGACACGGCCCAGACUCCUACGGAAAGCAGCAGUGGGGAAUAUUGGACAAUGGGCGAAAGCCUGAUCCAGCAAUGCCGCGUGAGUGAUGAAGGCGUUAGGGUUGUAAAGCUCUUUUACCCGGGAUGAUAAUGACAGUACCGGGAGAAUAAGCUCCGGCUAACUCCGUG
rnacentral:rRNA from 1 species